UGUAGGCGGUUGGUUAAGUUUGGUGUGAAAUCUCCCGGCUCAACUGGGAGGGUGCGCCGAAUACUGAGUGACUAGAGUGCGGGAGAGGAAAGUGGAAUUCCUGGUGUAGCGGUGAAAUGCGUAGAUAUCAGGAGGAACACCGGUGGUGUAGACGGCUUUCUGGACCGUAACUGACGCUGAAACACGAAAGCGUGGGUAGCAAACAGGAUUAGAUACCCUGGUAGUCCACGCCCUAAACGAUGCAUAUUUGGUGUGGGCAGUUCAUUCUGUCCGUGCCGGAGCUAACGCGUUAAAUAUGCCGCCUGGGGAGUACAGUCGCAAGGCUGAA
rnacentral:rRNA from 1 species